rnacentral:ncRNA from 1 species
GGGCGCCAGCAGUAUGACGGUCAAGGCCCUCAUGCCCGUGCGCACAGUGAAUCUGGUCGCGCCGCUGGGCCACAAGCCCACCGACAGGCACACAACGGAUACGGCCGCGCCUGCGCGCGGCGCGUCCGGUGCAGCCGCCCCGCUGAUCGGUCAUCGCCAUCAUGGUGAUGGCCUUCGGCAGGGCGGCCUACAU